AUUUCCGUUGAUUCAAUUACACAUGCAAAUUCCUUUUAUUAUUGUCCCUAUGUUCAACACAUACAUAGAUCUUAGGUUUUACAGCAGUCCCGUUUCAAUCAUAUUUAAGAGAUAUUACUGAACAAAAGUGUAGCCAUUUAUCAUUAUAUUCUCUUUUGCCAAAAUAUAUAGUUGAUCGUUGUGUAAUUAAAAUAUCUGCCUAUAAUACACAUCAAUUGAAUAGAAGCCAUUUAAAUGAAAUGGAAUGACACAAAGAUCCAACCCAAUUCAUACGUAACGUCCUGAUCAUAUGAUAUUUGAUUAUGAAUUCAUGUCAGUUUAUAAAUAGUAUACACUCAUCAUCGAAUACCUUAUCAUAUCUAAAGGGAAAUGUGAAUUCUUGCUCGUUGUUGGUUAAUACGAUAGAAAUUUUAAGGACAAAAAAUCAAGCAACGCGUUUUAAAGAUGCAGCAAAUA
rnacentral:lncRNA from 1 species